GAUCCAUGCAAUUGUUAAGACUAUUCAGUUCCUCUUAUUUGCUUUUGAGAAUAUUGAAUUUUCUUUAGUGAGCAGAAGUGCAAAUUCUGUUGCUCAUGCUGUAGUUAGAAUAAAGUUUUGAGAUUCUUUUCCAUGUGACUGGUUAUGUAAUACUCCAAAUGAGAUCUCGAGUAGGUUGUUUUUUGAUGCCUCUCUGGCCUUGUAAU
rnacentral:misc_RNA from 1 species